UUCCUCAUAUCCGCGAAUAUCGAACGUCCAAUCAAACCAACUUUAUUCUAGUAAAACAUUGAAGAUAUUUUACCUCAAAGUCAGACAGGAAAGAAACAAAACUGCCUCAAGAGUUAAAGGAUAACGUAUUAUCCUAGAAGUUCUGAAAACAUGAUACCGUUGUAGAGACAGUCCGCAUUUAGAGGAUGAACUAAUUCGGAGUUUCCCUCAUCCUGCACAUGUGGAAGCGUCUAACAUUGAACAUCUGGAGGUUUCCUGGGUAUUUUUGGAAGAGGUGCAAGUAAAAUGUGUUAAAAUAGGCGCAAAUCUGAAGCCUUCUUAUGCAAAUUAUGGAUGGCCUUUGCCUUCUGGAUUUCGUUCACCCUACGACCGGGAAUAUGAGCUUUUGGUAUGUGGCACUAAAUAUUGUGAGAAACAAGAUCAAGAUCAAGCCCUGGGAAGAAGGCUUCAGCUGGGAGACACGACAGUACAGUAGGCAUUUGUCACCUUCAAAAAACACAGGAAGGAAAUUCAUCAAGGGGUUGCCCUUACCUCCGCCUAACUCACACAUCCAGAUGAAACCCCCCCUAUUUGCCAAAAGUGAGAUCUGAGCUCGGCUAUUGCUAACAUGUGGCUCUGCGCUGAAUUCCAACUCAGGAGCAGGUUGGGCUGCAAAGUCAAACCCUUGCAUCAAAGAGCCCGUCACAACCGUUAUGAACUAGUUCGUCUGGAAUGAUGAUCUAAAGCAGGUGUGAGAAGGGCAGACGUGGUGAGAAGAGUGGGACUGCAGGAUAGGGAUAACUGCACAUCAGUAAUCGUAGACGUUCUCAGGGCAGUUAAACAUCAGUACAGGGCUGAUCAGGUGUCAGACAACAAAAGACUCUCAUUCAAAUUCAUGAAUAAUCUGCAUGUGUGUAUCAACAGAUGAGUGAGAGUCUGACUUGAGUGCAAGAGUGUUUCAAGACGUCUGGGAUGGCUGCCAAACCACAAAAUCAGAACUUUCUCUGCCUAGAGUGUGGGUCUGUCAGCUCCAGACAGACAUAAUGAGAGACAUAAUGAAAAUUUUACGAAUGGCGACCUAUUGAAAGGCAAAGUUUUGUAUCAGAGAACCUGAAACACUGCAUUUUCUAGAUCUGUGGUUAAAGGUGCCGUUUAUAAUGAUUAAAAGUGCAUCGAUGCCGUCAUAUAAUUUCAAAAUUACCUGCAGAGACAGUGAUUUGCAAUAUUGCCAUGCAGAAAUCAUGCUAGUUUCUUCAUUUAGAGCAAGAUUGCCAGAUAUGUGUAAUAUGAGCAGCCCAUAGCGUCUUCAGUAUCUCGUAAUGUAACAUGAAGUCUGAGAAAGGUGAGCGCAAAUCCUGUGUAAAGCUCGUUACUAUUCAUUUUAAACCACUGAGAUAUUCACGUAAAUGCAACACCAUGACAUUUCGGCUCAGCGCUAUUAACAAUGCAGAUGUAACAUGAUGGCACAUCUGCAUUGUUAAUAGCACUGAGAAGAAAUGGGAGAUUUCUUUGCUAGGCUUCUUUGGUUUAUCGCUCAAGAAAAAAAACUUCCGCAUGUGCUCCACUCUUUUCAGUCAGUAUGAAUGGAUUAUAUAAUCACACCAACACUGUAUGUCUCUCACAACGUUUACAUGGACAACAAUAAUCCGAUAUUAACCCGAAUAAGACAAUACUCUGAUUAAGGAACUACCACGUAAACAGCGAUUUCUGAUGACCUUAAUCUGACUAAAGUCAUACUCGAAGUAAUGACGUGUAUGGUAAGUAAUCACGUGUGCCGUUAAUCGAUCUCUGUCCUAUAACGUGUAAAACGGGUACAUGAAAGGAGUAUUCUAAAAGCAACUCAUGUAAACACCUUAAUCAGAAUAUUGUCUUAGUCAGAAUAAGGUCAGUAAUUAGAUUAUUUGUAGUUUUUUUUUUUUGAGAAUUGAUCCAUUAAUUCCAUGUAGUGUAGAGAAACGCAUAAAACCUACGGGUUUAAAGAAUCGUCGAUUAAAUGUAGGUAUGCAAACAGAGACAGACAGAUACGUAUACAGACACAUAUGUAGAUAGAUAAAUUAAUAAACGGAUACUUUAUUGAUCCUGCACUUAGCAUAAUGUACAAUUGAACGUAGCCAUCAAAUAGGAUUAAGUGGUAAAUAAGUAAAAGCUAUUAUAAAUCCAUCUAAGGAUUUAAGUAUACUGCAAAUGUACGCACUAUAGACCGUAAAUGUAUGAUAUGUAAUAUUAUAUGUGUGUGUAUAAACGUGUAUCCUGUAAUUCAGAGGAAAAAAGGAAAAUGUGUUGAGGUUUUAGUGCUGUUAACAUGAAGUCUUUCUCACUGUGAAGCGAUAAAAAAAAAAAACACGGUAAAGUAGGUUCUUAAAAUAUGUUUCCAGUCGUCGGUGUCUCUCCUUAUCUUUCUUUCCUUUCCUUCUCGCCUGUUCUUCGUCCAACCCCCCAACCACUUUGCUUUGAAUCCUCACGGAGUCUGUACUUUCAACGACUCAAUUACGCAGGGACCCCGCGGAGAAAAUUACAGAUGUUUUUCCAUCAUUUCUCUCUUUCCGCUGGGACGGCUUGACCACUCCCUGCUGUCCAUUCCUUCCUUCCCUCCUUUCCAUCCCUCUCCCCCUCCUCUCUCUCUCUCUCUCUCUCUCUCUCUCUCUCCAUCCUCCAUCCCCUUCCUCUCAUACACUUACUCCCCACCUGUCGUGUUCUUUUCCUUGCACUCCCCAUAUGUAGAAGUUAUUGUGUUGCUAUCAGUGACUGCGAUGAAAUAAUGGGUAAAUGGACUUGUUUGUGCAAUCCUCUCACCAUGAGCUGAGAGCGAGAGAAAGCAAAAAUAAAUAAAUAAAUGAAUACACUUGUAUGACAGAGAGAAUUUCAGAAAGCAUUGUCCUUUACAACGGUCUUUUUCUUGUCAUUACGGCAAACAUCAGUGAGCGAAGCUCGGCAGGCGAUGAGAGGUUUCCAUUCGAAUGGAGCUCAAAUAACACUCACUGCAAACAUGUAAAUAUUACAGGAGAGACG